rnacentral:rRNA from 1 species
GGUUAAGCGACUAAGCGUACACGGUGGAUGCCCUGGCAGUCAGAGGCGAUGAAGGACGUGCUAAUCUGCGAUAAGCGUCGGUAAGGUGAUAUGAACCGUUAUAACCGGCGAUUUCCGAAUGGGGAAACCCAGUGUGAUUCGUCACACUAUCAUUAACUGAAUCCAUAGGUUAAUGAGGCGAACCGGGGGAACUGAAACAUCUAAGUACCCCGAGGAAAAGAAAUCAACCGAGAUUCCCCCAGUAGCGGCGAGCGAACGGGGAGCAGCCCAGAGCCUGAAUCAGUGUGUGUGUUAGUGGAAGCGUCUGGAAAGGCGCGCGAUACAGGGUGACAGCCCCGUACACAAAAAUGCACAUACUGUGAGCUCGAUGAGUAGGGCGGGACACGUGGUAUCCUGUCUGAAUAUGGGGGGACCAUCCUCCAAGGCUAAAUACUCCUGACUGACCGAUAGUGAACCAGUACCGUGAGGGAAAGGCGAAAAGAACCCCGGCGAGGGGAGUGAAAAAGAACCUGAAACCGUGUACGUACAAGCAGUGGGAGCCUCUUUUAUGGGGUGACUGCGUACCUUUUGUAUAAUGGGUCAGCGACUUAUAUUCUGUAGCAAGGUUAACCGAAUAGGGGAGCCGAAGGGAAACCGAGUCUUAACCGGGCGUUAAGUUGCAGGGUAUAGACCCGAAACCCGGUGAUCUAGCCAUGGGCAGGUUGAAGGUUGGGUAACACUAACUGGAGGACCGAACCGACUAAUGUUGAAAAAUUAGCGGAUGACUUGUGGCUGGGGGUGAAAGGCCAAUCAAACCGGGAGAUAGCUGGUUCUCCCCGAAAGCUAUUUAGGUAGCGCCUCGUGAAUUCAUCUCCGGGGGUAGAGCACUGUUUCGGCAAGGGGGUCAUCCCGACUUACCAACCCGAUGCAAACUGCGAAUACCGGAGAAUGUUAUCACGGGAGACACACGGCGGGUGCUAACGUCCGUCGUGAAGAGGGAAACAACCCAGACCGCCAGCUAAGGUCCCAAAGUCAUGGUUAAGUGGGAAACGAUGUGGGAAGGCCCAGACAGCCAGGAUGUUGGCUUAGAAGCAGCCAUCAUUUAAAGAAAGCGUAAUAGCUCACUGGUCGAGUCGGCCUGCGCGGAAGAUGUAACGGGGCUAAACCAUGCACCGAAGCUGCGGCAGCGACACUGUGUGUUGUUGGGUAGGGGAGCGUUCUGUAAGCCUGUGAAGGUGUACUGUGAGGUAUGCUGGAGGUAUCAGAAGUGCGAAUGCUGACAUAAGUAACGAUAAAGCGGGUGAAAAGCCCGCUCGCCGGAAGACCAAGGGUUCCUGUCCAACGUUAAUCGGGGCAGGGUGAGUCGACCCCUAAGGCGAGGCCGAAAGGCGUAGUCGAUGGGAAACAGGUUAAUAUUCCUGUACUUGGUGUUACUGCGAAGGGGGGACGGAGAAGGCUAUGUUGGCCGGGCGACGGUUGUCCCGGUUUAAGCGUGUAGGCUGGUUUUCCAGGCAAAUCCGGAAAAUCAAGGCUGAGGCGUGAUGACGAGGCACUACGGUGCUGAAGCAACAAAUGCCCUGCUUCCAGGAAAAGCCUCUAAGCAUCAGGUAACAUCAAAUCGUACCCCAAACCGACACAGGUGGUCAGGUAGAGAAUACCAAGGCGCUUGAGAGAACUCGGGUGAAGGAACUAGGCAAAAUGGUGCCGUAACUUCGGGAGAAGGCACGCUGAUAUGUAGGUGAAGUCCCUCGCGGAUGGAGCUGAAAUCAGUCGAAGAUACCAGCUGGCUGCAACUGUUUAUUAAAAACACAGCACUGUGCAAACACGAAAGUGGACGUAUACGGUGUGACGCCUGCCCGGUGCCGGAAGGUUAAUUGAUGGGGUCAGCGCAAGCGAAGCUCUUGAUCGAAGCCCCGGUAAACGGCGGCCGUAACUAUAACGGUCCUAAGGUAGCGAAAUUCCUUGUCGGGUAAGUUCCGACCUGCACGAAUGGCGUAAUGAUGGCCAGGCUGUCUCCACCCGAGACUCAGUGAAAUUGAACUCGCUGUGAAGAUGCAGUGUACCCGCGGCAAGACGGAAAGACCCCGUGAACCUUUACUAUAGCUUGACACUGAACAUUGAGCCUUGAUGUGUAGGAUAGGUGGGAGGCUUUGAAGUGUGGACGCCAGUCUGCAUGGAGCCGACCUUGAAAUACCACCCUUUAAUGUUUGAUGUUCUAACGUGGACCCGUGAUCCGGGUUGCGGACAGUGUCUGGUGGGUAGUUUGACUGGGGCGGUCUCCUCCUAAAGAGUAACGGAGGAGCACGAAGGUUGGCUAAUCCUGGUCGGACAUCAGGAGGUUAGUGCAAUGGCAUAAGCCAGCUUGACUGCGAGCGUGACGGCGCGAGCAGGUGCGAAAGCAGGUCAUAGUGAUCCGGUGGUUCUGAAUGGAAGGGCCAUCGCUCAACGGAUAAAAGGUACUCCGGGGAUAACAGGCUGAUACCGCCCAAGAGUUCAUAUCGACGGCGGUGUUUGGCACCUCGAUGUCGGCUCAUCACAUCCUGGGGCUGAAGUAGGUCCCAAGGGUAUGGCUGUUCGCCAUUUAAAGUGGUACGCGAGCUGGGUUUAGAACGUCGUGAGACAGUUCGGUCCCUAUCUGCCGUGGGCGCUGGAGAACUAAGGGGGGCUGCUCCUAGUACGAGAGGACCGGAGUGGACGCAUCACUGGUGUUCGGGUUGUCAUGCCAAUGGCACUGCCCGGUAGCUAAAUGCGGAAGAGAUAAGUGCUGAAAGCAUCUAAGCACGAAACUUGCCCCGAGAUGAGUUCUCCCUGACCCUUUAAGGGUCCUGAAGGAACGUUGAAGACGACGACGUUGAUAGGCCGGGUGUGUAAGCGCAGCGAUGCGUUGAGCUAACCGGUACUAAUGAACCGUGAGGCUUAACCUU